rnacentral:misc_RNA from 1 species
AAUUCUCAAACCCAUCAGCUUUUGUGAGCUGUGUGGGCUUGGAUAUGGGGGUUUGCUGGCUUUUUUAUAAAAGGUCAGCUCUCCUGAAAUGCAUUAGCGGAACCGUUUGCAGUCCCGUCACUAGUGUGAUAAUUAUCUACACUGUGAUGAUUGCUCUCUGACUAGUUCAGCUGCUAACUGUCCCUUGUUGGACAACUUAAUGAACU